CCCUUAGAUGUUCUGGGCCGCACGCGCGCUACACUGACGAAUGCAACGAGCUUAUAACCUUGGCCGAAAGGUCUGGGUAAUCUCCAAAUUUCGUCGUGAUGGGGAUAGAUUAUUGCAAUUAUUAAUCUUCAACGAGGAAUGCCUAGUAAGCGCAAGUCAUCAGCUUGCGAUGAUUACGUCCCUGCCCUUUGUACACACCGCCCGUCGCUCCUACCGAUUGAAUGGUCCGGUGAAGCGUUCGGACCGUGGCCUUUGGACGGUUCGCCGUCUGUUGGCUGCGGGAAGUUCGUUAAACCUUAUCAUUUAGAGGAAGGAGAAGUCGUAACA
rnacentral:rRNA from 1 species